rnacentral:rRNA from 1 species
UACAGAGGUCCCAAGCGUUGUUCGGAUUCAUUGGGCGUAAAGGGUGCGUAGGCGGCGCGGUAAGUCGGGUGUGAAAUCUCGGAGCUUAACUUCGAAACUGCAUUCGAUACUGCCGUGCUUGAGGACUGGAGAGGAGACUGGAAUUUACGGUGUAGCGGUGAAAUGCGUAGAUAUCGUAAGGAAGACCAGUGGCGAAGGCGGGGUCUCUGGACAGUUCCUGACGCUGAGGCACGAAAGCGUGGGGAGCAAACAGG